UUACGGCCGUAUCACGUUGAAACAGCGGUCCCCAUACGAUCACCGAAGUUAAGCAACGUCAAGCCUGGUCUAUACGUAGAUGGGUGAUUAUUUGGGAAGAAUACCUGGGUG